rnacentral:rRNA from 1 species
UUUUUGAUAAUAAUUUAAAGUCUAAUCUGCCCACUGAUAAUUAUUAAAGGGCUGCAGUAUUUUGACUGUACAAAGGUAGCAUAAUCAAUAGUCUUUUAAUUGAAGACUAGUAUGAAAGAUUGAAUGAAAUAUAAACUGUCUUUUUAAUAAAAUUAAAAAUUAAUUUUUUAGUCAAAAAGCUAAAAUGAAUUUAAAAGACGAGAAGACCCUAUAGAGUUUUAUAAUUAAAUUUAUUUUUUUAAAAUAUAAAUAAUUUAAAAAAAAAUAUAUUUAAUUAUUUUGUUGGGGUGAUAAAAAAAUUAAAUAAACUUUUUUUAAAAUUUAACAAAAAUAAUUGAAUAAGUGAUCCAUUAAUUAUGAUUAAAAGAAUAAAUUACCUUAGGGAUAACAGCGUAAUAUUUUUUUUUAGUACAAAUAAAAAAAAAAGUUUGCGACCUCGAUGUUGGAUUAAGAUAAAAAUUAAAUGCAAAAGUUUAAAAUUUUGAUCUGUUCGAUCAUUAAAAUCUUAC